UGGGUAACCUGCCCUCAGCACGGGGAUAACCCCGGGAAACCGGAGCUAAUACCGGAUACUCCGGCUGGAUCGCAUGGUCCGGCCGGGAAAGGUCCGCCGGAGAGGGAUGGGCCCGCGGCCUAUCAGCUUGUUGGUGAGGUAACGGCCCACCAAGGCGACGACGGGUAGCCGGCCUGAGAGGGCGACCGACCACACUGGGACUGAGACACGGCCCAGACUCCGUACGGGAGGCA
rnacentral:rRNA from 1 species